rnacentral:rRNA from 1 species
UACGGGGGGGGCAAGCGUUGUUCGGAAUUACUGGGCGUAAAGGGCGUGUAGGCGGUCAGGUUAGUGAGAUGUGAAACGCCCCGGCUCACCCGGGGACCUGCAUCUCAAACUGCCUGGCUUGAGUAUGGGAGAGGAUGAGGGAAUUCCUGGUGUAGCGGUGAAAUGCGUAGAUAUCAGGAGGAACACCGGUGGCGAAAGCGCUCAUCUGGCCCAAUACUGACGCUGAGGCGCGAAAGCUAGGGGAGCAAACGGG